UACGAAGGGGGGCUAGCGUUGUUCGGAAUUACUGGGCGUAAAGCGCACGUAGGCGGAUACUUAAGUCAGGGGUGAAAUCCCGAGGCUCAACCUCGGAACUGCCUUUGAUACUGGGUAUCUCGAGUCCGGAAGAGGUGAGUGGAAUUCCGAGUGUAGAGGUGAAAUUCGUAGAUAUUCGGAGGAACACCAGUGGCGAAGGCGGCUCACUGGUCCGGUACUGACGCUGAGGUGCGAAAGCGUGGGGAGCAAACAGG
rnacentral:rRNA from 1 species